AACUGGUUUGUUUGGAAAAAAUGGCUGCCGCCAUGAUGGUGCCUUUUCACAUCUUCUGCAAGUUUAUGUGACGACCUGUUUAAAGUUUAACAUUGACACGCGCCAGUUCAUGUGUCAACGAGCGCAAAUUGUGAAAGAUGGCUUGGAAAAAUUCAGUUCAGAGUUUAAAGCGCCACCUUGCAACAAACAGCGCCAUGGAAACAGCUGUGGAGUGUUUGCAUUGAUGACUGCCAAAUGUUUGGUCAUGAAAAAGCAUCCCACAAUGUUGCGACAGGCCCAUGAUUCAGUUUAUCGAGACUAGUCGUGAGACCCAGACUUCUGAUUCAUGGAGUGCGGCAAACAAAUCUGUGCGACUCGAUCACUCAACUGUAAAGACCUGCAAGGCAUUAAAAUGGAUAUUAUCAAUAUGUGUUGUUGCUCGAAAAUAUGUUUUUGUAGCAGGAAGUGCUUUGGGCUCGAUUAAUCUGAGAACUCAACAAAAUAUUAAUAAAAUCCUUCUGUGCCUUUUAGUUCUGAAAACAGAAGUAGCCAGUUGGUAUUACACAUCUCCUAAACAAGUACAGCACAAUAAAACUUAAGGUUUUAUAAUCCUAAAUUUUUAUAACAUCUUUAUAUCAACACAAAAAUAUUGAUGAUUGUGGUGCUCAGAUUGCAAAACCACCUGUUUGGCAAAAAUAAUGCAGAUGGUUAGAUUAUGAUAAGUGUA